rnacentral:rRNA from 1 species
AUGAGAACCAAUCCUACUACUUCUCCUCCCGAGGUUUCCACAAUUGAAGAAAAAAGUACAGGUCGUAUCGAUCAAAUUAUUGGACCCGUGCUGGAUGUCACUUUUCCCCCAGGUAAGUUACCUUAUAUUUAUAAUGCUUUGGUAGUCCAGAGUAGAGACACUGCCGAUAAUAAAAUUAAUGUGACUUGUGAGGUACAACAAUUAUUAGGAAAUAAUCGAGUUAGUGUUGUAGCUAUGAGUGCUACGAACGGAUUGAUGAGAGGAAUGGAAGUGAUUGACAUGGGAGCUCCUCUUAGUGUUCCGGUCAGUGGAGCUACUCUCGGACGAAUUUUCAAUGUUCUUGGGGAGCCUGUUCACAAUUUGGGUCCUGUAGAUAGUAGUGCAACAUUCCCUAUUCAUAGAUCUGCGCCUGCCUUUAUCGAGUUAGAUACGAAAUUUUCCAUCUUUGAAACAUGUAUUAAGGUCAUCGAUCUUUCAGCUCCUUAUCGACGUGGAGGAAAAAUAGGACUAUUUGGGGGGCCUGGAGUAGGUAAAACAGUACUGAUCAUGGAAUUAAUCAAUAACAUUGCUAAAUCUCAUGGGGGUGUAUCCGUAUUCGGUGGAGUAGGGGAACAGACUCGUGAAGGAAAUGAUCUUUAUAUGGAAAUGAAGGAAUCCGGAGUAAUCAACGAAAAAAUAUUGAGAAAUCAAAGAUAG